CAGGAAAGACGAAUAACGAGUGAAACUCCGAUGUCCGAGUGCCUUCGAAUGCACCAUGUAGACGUCACGUCCUGUACAGUCUAUGCUGCUACAGAUACGAGGUGACACAAUCCCACUGAGGGGGCUGCUCUUAGAUCUCACUCAUGUGGAUGACAGCUGGACUUCGGUGUGACAGAGACAGUAAAGAAUGAAGAGGAAGGGAACCACCAGCAGCUUUUCCCAGCCUAAAAGAAGAGAGGAGGAAGAGCAUCCCAGAGAGGAGAUGGAGGAGGAAGAGUUCAGAGAAAGAAAUGAAGGCAUGCAGAGCUCAGACAGCGAAAGAUUGACUUUGGGACCAGACUGAUACCUCCCUGAUGGCACUGUGCGAUGUACUGCAUAAGAAUCUCAACAACAAAGGAGUGCAGGUCCAGCAGCAGCUCACCUCUCCUUUACGGAUCACCUGGAGACAUGCGCACACACAGCGGUAUGAAAGGGCGGGAAGGUCUCAAAGCUCCAAUGACACUUUUCUGUAGCUAAUCUUACACUGUGACCCUGUGAUUGAUCAGCAGGGGAUCAGAAGAAGAAAAAAUCGAGUCUCAUUGUUCACAAAAAAGUCAUUAUUAACAAAGAUCUUUUUGCCUAGCAACUAGGAGAUCAGUGCAGAAGCAGAGCAUAUAUAAUAUGAACUAAAGAAAGUGGUAAAAUGGUGGGCCGGUGGUUAGUCACAUUACAAGUACUUAUGUACAAGUCUGAGGUACUUGAAGUUGACCUGAGUGUUAAUUUUAUAUUACUGUCUACUUCUGCUUACUGCAUUUAUUUAACAGAUACUGGUAAAAGAUGACAAUUCAGAUUUUAAAACCUCUAAUGAGCUUAAUCAUAUAUUAUACAUUGUUAUACUGCAAAUUAAACUACUCAGUAAAGUGGCUAGAAUCAGCUCCUUCUUGACCAACUACAACAUUAAAAUGUACCUAUUAAUGCAUCCGUGAUAAAUGUGAAACAUAUCAGUCUAACCCUGAAUGAACACUUGAAACUGACUGUAUAAUAAAAAAAACCAAACAAUUACAUCCAAAAUAAAUCUGAGGAUGAGACUCAAAUUUACGGUGAAAGAGUGUCAUGGCUGCCAUGCGACCUGUUAAUCAUUCCAGACUAGACUUUCAAUCAAGCAGCCACAAAAGGCUGAUGCCGUAUAUGAAUUUAAUUAUGGAAUAAUUUUCAGAUGGACGACCAGAUCUUUUGAUAUGGCCAAGGAGACUAACAGAAAAAAGUGUCUUGUCCUGUAGAAUUUAUUUAUUUGUUGUUACACUGCCAAGGAAUGUGGCGGAGUUUUAUGACGAUCGGCGUAUGUUUGUCCUUUUGUGAAUCUGUGAAUCUGUCUGUGCACAACAUUACUCAAAAACAGACUUAUGGAUUUGGAUGAAAUUUUCAGGGAAGGUCAGAAAUGACACAAGACCCACCUCAUUUGAUUCUGGCAGUGAUGCGGCUUAUAGUCUGAAUCCACGGAUUUGUUAAAAAUUUCUGUAUCAUUGCGAGAUAGCAGCACAGAAUCACUGUAACUAUGACAACAAGUAAAUGGUACAUCAGCUGCCUGCUGACGAUCACGAUUGUGAUCGUACUACAAAUCAACCGCUGCAGACUUAUCGGGACUUAUCCGUCCGAAAUCAUACAACAACUGAGCAGCCUUGGCAGAGAACUGCACUUUCUGCUUUUCUUGUUACUCCGCCAAGGAACACAGCGGAGUUAUGUGACGAUCGGCGUACGUUUGUCUGUGAAUCCAUCUGUCUGUCUGCCCAUAACAUUAAAAAUACGCCUUCAAAAUAAAAGCAUGGAGGGAACGGUUAUUUUAACACUAGCAAAACAAAAGCUUGCCGAAAGUGAUGAACUGAUCAACAGACUUUUAUGAGUAAUUUACACGCAAUUCGGUAUCCAUACAUGACAUGCACAUGCAUAACACAUGCCUGUGCUCUGCACAAGUUCAUUUUUUAUUAAAUAUUUCAUCCGUCGGAAAUGAUGCGUCAACUGAGCAGCCUUGGCGGAGUACUGCGCUCUCUGAGUGCUUUUCCAGCAGUUUCGUAUGUGGUCCAAAAUAUGACAAAAACGUCACAGUUUAGUAUGUGGUCCAACAAGUGGAAAGAAGGUGCCCAGGUAGCUCAACUGGUUGAAAGGGUGACUCAUAAACAGGACUGUGUCAGACACAGGUUUGAUUUCAACUCAUGGCCCUUUACUGCCUGUCUUCCUCUCUACUUCCCUAUUGAAUAAAACCAACAAAAGGACCCAAAAAACAACUUUAAAAAAAAAGGUCAUAGGAUGUCGUCCUAAAUGUGAAAAAAAAGGUCAUAGUUUAGUAUGUCAUCGAAAAUGUGGAAAAAACUUCAUAGUUUAGUAUGUCGUCCAACAAGUGACCAAAGGAGCACAGGUAGCUCAACUGGUUGAGGGCAGCGCAUACACAGGAUUGCGUCAGAGAUGUAGGUUCAAUUCUUAGCUCAUGGCCCUUUACUGUAGGUCUUCCUCUCUACUUACCUAUUGAAUAAAACUAACAAAAGGGCCCAAGAAACAUCUUUGAAAAAAAUUUCAUAGUUUAGCAUGUCGUCAUAAAUGUGGAAAAAAUGUCAUCGUUUAGUACAUUGUCCAAAAUGUGAAAAAAAAUGUCAUAGUUUAGUAUGUCGUCCAAAAUAUCACAAAAAUGUCAUAGUUUACUAUGUCGUCCAAAAUGUGACAAAAAUGUCAUAGUUUAGCAUGUCGUCCAAAAUAUCACAAAAAUGUCAUAGUUUAGUUUGUCGUCCAGAAUGUGACAAAAACGUCAUAGUUUAGUAUGUCGUCCGAAACGUCACAAAAAUGUCAUAGUUUAGUGUCGUCCAAAAUGUGACAAAAAUGUCAUAGUUUAGUAUGUCGUCCAAAAUGUGACAAAAAUGUCAUAGUUUAGUAUGUCGUCCAAAACAUCACAAAAACGUCAUAGUUUUGUAUGUCGUCCAAAAUUUGACAAAAACUUCAUAGUUUAGUCUGUCGUCCAAAAUGUGACAAAAACGUCAUAGUUUAGUAUGUCGUCCAAAAUUUGACAAAAACGUCAUAGUUUAGUAUGUCGUCCGAAACGUCACAAAAAUGUCAUAGUUUAGUAUGUCGUCCAAAAUGUGACAAAAAUGUCAUAGUUUAGUAUGUCGUCCAAAACAUCACAAAAACGUCAUAGUUUUGUAUGUCGUCCAAAAUUUGACAAAAACGUCAUAGUUUAGUCUGUCGUCCAAAAUGUGAAAAAAAUGUCAUAGUUUAGUAUGUCGACCAAAAUAUCACAAAAAUGUCAUAGUUUACUAUGUCGUCCAAAAUGUGACAAAAAUAUCAUAGUUUAGCAUGUCGUCCAAAAUAUCAUAAAAAUGUCAUAGUUUAGUUUGUCGUCCAGAAUGUGACAAAAACGUCAUAGUUUAGUAUGUCGUCCGAAACGUCACAAAAAUGUCAUAGUUUAGUAUGUCGUCCAAAAUGUGACAAAAAUGUCAUAGUUUAGUAUGUCGUCCAAAAUGUGACAAAAAUGUCAUAGUUUAGUAUGUCGUCCAAAACAUCACAAAAACGUCAUAGUUUUGUAUGUCGUCCAAAAUUUGACAAAAACUUCAUAGUUUAGUCUGUCGUCCAAAAUGUGAAAAAAAAUGUCAUAGUUUAGCAUGUCGUCCAAAAUAUCACAAAAAUGUCAUAGUUUACUAUGUCGUCCAAAAUGUGACAAAAAUGUCAUAGUUUAGUAUGUCGUCCAAAAUAUCACAAAAAUGUCAUAGUUUAGUUUGUCAUCCAGAAUGUGACAAAAAUGGCAUAGUUUAGUAUGUCGUCCAAAAUAUCACAAAAACGUCAUACUUUAGUAUGUCGUCCGAAAUGUCACAAAAACGUCAUAGUUUAGUUUGUCGUCCAAAAUGUGGAAAAAAAGUCAUACUUUAGUAUGUCGUCCAAAAUAUGACAAAAACGCCAUUGUUUAGUAUGUCGCCCAAAAUAUGACAAAAAGGCCAGUUUAGUAUGUCGUCCAAAAUGUGACAAAAAUGUCAUAGAAGUAUGUCGUCCGAAAUGUGAAACAAACGUCAUAGUUUAGUAUGUCGUCCGAAAUGUCACAAAAAUGUCAUAGUUUAGUAUGUCGUUCAAAAUGUGACAAAAAUGUCAUAGUUUUGUAUGUCGUCCGAAAUAUCACAUAAACGUCAUAAUUUAGCAUGUCGCUCUAAAAACGUCAUAGAAAAGCCUUUAGUCCACAAAACGUUGUUUUGUCCCGGCUGUCUGAAGUAGGUGAGGAGCAACACAAAAACAGUUCAAACACUAGUUUCCAGACGGUUAGAUGAGUAUUUAUUUGAAGAGCAAGUUUACAACAACACAACAUGUGAGGGUAAACAAAACAAAAACGUAUCAACAAAGUUUUCUGUUAGAGUUUGGGCUCUUCUGAGUUUAACUCCAAGAUUUUAAAUACUUUCAUUUACUGCAAAUGAAUAUCUACUCCAAAUGUCUCACUAAUAAUCAUUAUCAGCCUUAAAAACCCACAAAACACCCCUCUAUACUCGACCACACUUAGUACAGUCCGGUUCCCCCUUCUAGAAAUCUGCUUGGAAUCGCCCACUUCCUGUUUGUCAAAGUGGCCUUCUACCUGGACAGGUUUUGUUGGAGCUCAUGCAACAAACAUUUUGGGUAAGUGCACUUUAAUAUGGAUGGAUGACACUGAAUUAGAGUCUGUUUUAAUGAGACUGAGUUAAGAUGUGUAGCUCUGUCAUUAAAUAGGAAAUGAUUUCUCAGAAUUCACAGAGAAAAGUCUGAAAUGUUUGCUAGGUUAGCGUCCCACAUGUUCUUUGGCUCAGCUAAAGCUAACUCUCUCCAACUUCUGGAUCUCUUGAGUUGCUUGUUAAAAUAUCUUGCUAGAGGUGCUGAAGCUCAGAAAGUCUGAGAUGUUUGUUCAAAAUCAGCUCAUUCUCAAGUCUUCUCUGAACUGUCCUCUUUUGUUUGAACUUUCCCUAAACUUAGGAGUUAAUGACAGAGCAGCACAUCCAGACUCAUUUAUGUAGAGAUUAAACUUCAGUGUCAUUCAUUGAUGUUAAAGUGCAGUUUUUCAAAUGUUUGUUGCAUAUGCUCCCAACCAAACCAGUCCAGGUGGAAGACGAUGUGAAGAGAAAGCUCCAGAGGAUGAAUAUCACACAUUUACGUUGGAAAUAAAUGUCCUUUAAUUAGACAUUGUCAUGCAAAAGUUGGAUUUCCCUUUAAUGAUGUUCAAAUCUUUGUUGAGUGUUUUGUUGAUGUUGGUUUCUAAAUGUUUUCUGACACUCUGCCCCAAAGAUUAAAACCUUUUCUGACUCACAAGCUGCAACAAUUCACACAUUAUCAACUAUCUUUCUGACUAAGAUAAAAAGUGAAAAGCUGUCUGAUUCCUGCAUCAUGAAUGUAAAUCUUUUUGGUUUUUAUGACAGUAAACUGAAUAUAUUUGGG